rnacentral:rRNA from 1 species
CUUAAGGGUCAGUUCGGCUGGAUCGGUGACAGGUGCUGCAUGGCUGUCGUCAGCUCGUGUCGUGAGAUGUUGGGUUAAGUCCCGCAACGAGCGCAACCCUCGUCCUUAGUUGCCAGCAUUAAGUUGGGCACUCUAAGGAGACUGCCGGUGUUAAACCGGAGGAAGCGGGGAUGACGUCAAGUCCUCAUGGCCCUUAUGUCCAGGGCUACACACGUGCUACAAUGGCCGGUACAAAGGGUAGCAAGACCGCGAGGUGGAGCCAACCCCAAAAAGCCGGUCUCAGUUCGGAUUGGAGUCUGCAACUCGACUCCAUGAAGUUGGAAUCGCUAGUAAUCGUGGAUCAGCAUGCCACGGUGAAUACGUUCCCGGGCCUU